UCAGAAGCAUGAGGUUGGAAGUGUGUGGUUAACAAGAAAUUUCUUGUGUGUAUAUAUUUUGACAUUUUUGUCAAUACAUUUUUGUGUAUUUUGUCUUUUUUGACAAUACAUCUUUUUUCCAACAUGUCGGAGAAAAAAGAGAUAGCUGAAGGCUCGAAAGAGAAACAAGUGGCUAAAAAUAGUAAGAAAUCAACCAGUGCUGUUGUAAAGACCACUAGUGUUGCUACGAAAACCGCAACUAACCAAGAAUCUAAGAUUCUAGAAUACUUGCUAAGUCUGAGUGAAAAACGAUACCAAAUUAGACAUGUUUUCCUCUAGGAUUAUGGUUAUUGAAGAAACUGUACAGGGAUGUUUUACCUGGCAUGUCCUUUGACUACAACUUUGACAACAAUGGUCAGUGUUCUGAUACUAAGCGACCUCUUGAGAAUGAGGUAGAUUCCCAAAGCAAAUUUGCGGAUAUGGACAAGUGGUUUAAAGGGGAAGAUGCCGUGGGCCCUCCAUUGGAUGAAACACUGGCAGCAAAUAUAAUGAUUUGUUUCGCCAGGGAUUGGAGGAUACUCAAUUUGAGAAGUUAACUGAGAUUAUUGCAAGGCCAGACAAUUGCCAAGCACUCGCCACAGUCCGUUGCAAUAAGUUGAUAUGGAAGUUAUGCACACCGCAAAUCAGACACGCAGACAAGAUGCUCUAGAUAGUGGGCACAUCUCUGGUGAAAGGCUCCAUACUUAUCGCUCAAGCAACAAGUAAGAUAGCUGAACUUGAUUUUUCUGGUUUUCAGUCAGGCUCGGAGUCAGAGUAUGACAUUCAAGGGGAAGCUAAUAGUGUAUCAAUUGGAUUUAUGCAAAGAUGAAUUGUCUCUCUUUGGGUACUAUAAUCAACAGAUAUGUAUGAUUAGGAGGAGUUGCAUUAAACCUGUUAUCAAAAAGGAGUACAGCCAUUUGUGUUAUCCUGCUGUACCAUUCACCACUGAACUGUUUGGAGAUGAUGUCUUACAAACGACUAGAGAGUUGGAAUACUGAGCCAAAAUAGGGAAUAAAAUUCAAGGCAAAAGAGAGGUUUAUAAAGGAAACUAUAGACCCAGUAAAAACAAGACUUUUCAUGUCGGGCAUGCUAAGUAUGCUUGAAAACAGCAAGGCAGGUACACUGGAAAGUUCUCAGGGUAUCAGACGACCCAUGGCAGUGAGUCAAAAAAGGGAGUUCGAUGCAAGGACUCAAGGCCUUAUAACAAGGUGUCUACAGAAAAUAAAAACAGACAAAGCAAGAGCUGUUAUGGUGGUACCACUGUGGACAACAGAAAUAUGGUGGCCAAUGUUGAUGUUAAUGCUGGUGAAAGCUCCUUUGAUUUUACCACCGGUGGAAGAAACUUUGAUGCUGCAGUUUUCAGAGAAAGUUCAUCCACUACCCAACCAAAUGACCUUGAUUGCAUGCAAGUUAUCAGGAAGUCUUUUAGAGACCGUGGAUUUUCAGAACAAUCAAUUAACAUUUUUAUGGCAACAAAGAGAGCAAAGACUAAAUGUCAGUACAAGACAUAUUUAUCAAAAUGGUUUCAUUAAUUCACUUUAUGUUUCUGUGAAUGAUGUUAUUGAGUUUUUGAGUGAUCUGUAUAACAAGGGCUUAGGAUAUAGUUCCUUGAAUACAGCCAGGAGUGCCCUCUCAUCACUUGAAAUUUUACUGGAACAGUAUACAACAGGAUCGCACCCACAAGUUAUCCGUUAUAUGAAAGGUGCAUUUAAGGGGGGAAUGUACCCAAAUAUCACAAAAAAUCAUCAUUUUGUGGUUUUUUAUGUCUAAUUAUUGGUUAAAUCUGUAUCUAAGGUUUAACGGAAUAACCUUUUUACAUUUUGAACAAAAAUUUUUUUUUUCUGAGUAUUUUGAUACUGCACUCAUCGGCACCGGCGGCCUGGUCUAUGCCCCACCUUCGUUGCCAAGGGCCAUUGGCAUGGGUAAUCUCAGUGGGAGGACCUUAGCAGCAUCAGCACGACUCGCCAAACAAUAAAACAAGAACGUGUCAUACUCCCUUUGUCAUAAACAGUGAUCAGCAAAGCAUUGCCUAUUGUUCCGCUUAAGCCGUUUUGAUAGUCACUCUUGAUUGUGAUCAGCGCGAAGGAGAAUAUUUUCUGACACAUUGGAUUUGCUCAAAAUGCAUGUUUUUCCUUGAAUUGCUUGUUGCUAUACAUGUACUUUUGAUUUUCUUCUUAACAUUUGGAGAUACGAAAAAAAAGAGAAACAUUCCUCUGCUUGCUACCUGUGACAGCAACCGUCAAACUAGCGAUCAAUCUUCGACAGCAGCUCUAAACAGUCGUCAGAUUUUAUAGAUCUGUGCAACUUGGGCCAUCUAGCCUAGCAUUGAGGGCAUGUUUAUCAAACCUUUAACUUGACAACUAAUGAUUACUUGGCUCUAUGAUUGUGACCAUGGUGAUAAUUUCUGUGUUUUGGACUUUUUCUGAGCGACAUCGUUGUUAAUAUUUCGUCAAAUACUGACUGGAAUAAUAUACAAGAUUGCUUUGAAAAGACUUGAGCCCAUAUACUAGCAUAGCCUUUCAUUGGGUGGCGUAAAAUUUCAGUACAUGUACAAAAAAACCUAAGCAAAUAGAGCAAAUAGACUCCAUUUUCCGUGUGAACAAAAGUAAGCUAAGAUCAAAUGAGGGCUGUAGUAUUUAUAACAUUUUGAUUUUUCAGAAUUAUUCAUUUUGGCUAUGAGAUAUGAGCUGGAGAAUAAGCCCUAGCAUUUUCAACCUAAAUGCUGGUAUCCCGCGAGGUACAGUUCUGGAUGCAUGUAUGCACUUUCAAGUCGGACAUGUUUUUUUAUUUCUUCAAUAAUUAUGCCAAUUUCUGACAAAUACAACUUUACACAUUUCCUCUAACAAGCCCUGCCUGGUUGCAUCUUUUUCUUGUUGUUGAUGGUCCGAUCGGCGUCCUGCAACACGACCGUGUUUUUGAACCAUUUUUCACUCGGUGAAUGUGGACAAGACUAUCUGUAAUGAUGCUAUAUUGUGUGCACAUCUAGAGUGCAUCCCUAACACUUGCCCCGAUGUCAAUUGACGUGGCCACUGAUUGGUUGAGUAGUUACAGCUUACUUGAUUGCCUGUCAAUCAUUCUGGCAGUGCUAGAGGAAACCCCUUGAAGUUACUAACAGGAGGUGAGAUUGAUACAAAAAUAACAUUUUCUGACAUCCGAAUGCAUGCAAACAAGCUAAUACAUUAAAUGAAUGUGAAUAAAAAAGCUAAGACCUUUAUUUUAAGAGAACAUUUCCAACCUACAUUCCCCCCUUAACCUAUGCCCACCUACAAGUAGCCAUGUGGAUGUUUGGGAUAUUGAUCAAGUUUUAUGUGAUUUGCGCAAAUUGUCGCCUGUACGUAAUAUUAGUUUGAAAGACCUGACUUUGAAACUUCGCCGCCAGGAUUCAGACUGUACUGUUGUUGACUGUUAAGAAUUUUAAAAAGUUGACGUCUGAACAUGUUUUCUGUUGUGAUGGUUUACUUAAGCAGAGUAGACCGGGAGUUAAUUUUUCCAAAGUUCAUUGAAAAGCUUACCCUCCUGAUAGGAGACUUUGUGUGUACACUGUCAUGAAAGAGUACUUGAAACGUACUUAAAUGUUGAGACACUGUAAAGAAAACAGGUUGUUAAUAAGUUUCAGAAAACCACAUAAUGCAGUGUCAAAGGACACUAUUGCACGGUGGAUUAAAGUGGUCUUAAUAAGGUCAGGAACAGAUAUUGUGAAGUAAGGUGCUCAUAGUGUUAGAGCAGCAAUAACCUCUAAAGCUAAACUGAUGAAACAUGCUGGUUGUACGUUUACAAGAUUUUAUGACAAAGAAAUAGUCAAAAAUGACAGUGGUGAAAGCUGUACUUAAAUUGGAUAAGCAAAGGUCUUAAGUCAUUUCAUUUAUAAACUACUUAUGUGUUUGAUAACCAAUAAAGUUUUCUUGUUUGAAUUUAAA
rnacentral:lncRNA from 1 species